rnacentral:rRNA from 1 species
GCUAGCGGCAGGCCUUAUACAUGCAAGUCGAGGGGCAGCAUUUACUUCGGUAAAUGGCGACCGGCGCACGGGUGAGUAACGCGUAUGCAACCUACCUUUAACUGGGGCAUAGCUCGAGGAAACUCGAAUUAAUUCCCCAUGGUACAAUACAUUAUCGCAUGAUAUAAUUGUUAAAGAUUUAUCGGUUAAAGAUGGGCAUGCGUCUGAUUAGCUUGUUGGUAAGGUAACGGCUUACCAAGGCAACGAUCAGUAGGGGGUCUGAGAGGAUGAUCCCCCACACUGGUACUGAGACACGGACCAGACGUCUACGGACGGCAGCAGUAAGGAAUAUUGGGCAAUGGGCGCAAGCCUGACCCAGCCAUGCCGCGUGCAGGAUGACGACCCUAUGGGUUGUAAACUGCUUUUAUAUAGGAAGAAAAUACUCUUGCGAGAGGAUCUGACGGUACUAUAUGAAUAAGGACCGGCUAACUCCGUGCCAGCAGCCGCGGUAAUACGGAGGGUUCAAGCGUUUUCCGGAUUUAUUGGGUUUAAAGGGUGCGUAGGUGGUUUAUUAAGUCAGUGGUGAAAUCCUGCAGCUCAACUGUAGAACUGCCAUUGAUACUGGUAAACUUGAGUUUGGUUUAGGUAAGCGGAAUUUAUGAUGUAGCGGUGAAAUGCAUAGAUAUCAUAAGGAACACCAAUAGCGAAGGCAGCUUACUGGACCAUAACUGACACUGAGGCACGAAAGCGUGGGUAGCGAACAGGAUUAGAUACCCUGGUAGUCCACGCCGUAAACGAUGCUCACUCGAUGUUAGCGAUAUACUGUUAGCGUCCAAGCUAAAGCGUUAAGUGAGCCACCUGGGGAG